rnacentral:rRNA from 1 species
UAGUAUAAGCAAUUAUACAGCGAAACUGCGAAUGGCUCAUUAUAUAAGUUAUCGUUUAUUUGAUAGUGCCUUACUACUUGGAUAACCGUGGUAAUUCUAGAGCUAAUACAUGCUGAAAGCCCCGACUCACGGAGGGGCGUAUUUAUUAGAUUAAAAACCAAUGCCCUUCGGGGCUCCUUGGUGAUUCAUGAUAACUUCUCGAAUCGCACGGCCUUGCGCCGGCGAUGGUUCAUUCAAAUUUCUUCCCUAUCAACUUUCGAUGUUUGGGUAGUGGCCAAACAUGGUGGCAACGGGUAACGGAGGGUUAGGGCUCGACCCCGGAGAAGGAGCCUGAGAAACGGCUCCUACAUCCAAGGAAGGCAGCAGGCGCGCAAAUUACCCAAUCCCGACUCGGGGAGGUAGUGACAAUAAAUACUGAUGCAGGGCUCUUUAGGGUCUUGCAAUUGGAAUGAGUACAAUUUAAAUCCCUUAACGAGGAACAAUUGGAGGGCAAGUCUGGUGCCAGCAGCCGCGGUAACUCCAGCUCCAAUAGCGUAUAUUAAAGUUGUUGUGGUUAAAAAGCUCGUAGUUGAACCUUGGGCCUGGCCGUCCGGUCCGCCUCACCGCGUGCACUGGCACGGCCGGGCCUUCCCACCGCGGAAUCGCAUGCCCUUUACUGGGCGUGUCGGGGAAGCGGUACUUUUACUGUGAAAAAAUUAGAGUGCUCUAAGCAGGCCUAUGCUCGAAUACAUUAGCAUGGAAUAAUAGAAUAGGACAGGCGUUCUAUUUUGUUGGUUUCUAGGACGUCUGUAAUGAUUAACAGAAACAAUCGGGGGCGUCAGUAUUGCAUCGUCAGAGGUGAAAUUCUUAGAUCGACGCAAGACUAACUACUGCGAAAGCAUUCGCCAAGGGUGUUUUCAUUAAUCAGGAACGAAAGUUAGGGGAUCGAAGACGAUCAGAUACCGUCGUAGUCUUAACCAUAAACUAUGCCGACUAGGGAUCGGGCGGUGUUAAUUUUUGACCCGCUCGGCACCUUACGAGAAAUCUUAAGUGCUUGGGCUCCAGGGGAGU